UUUUCUCCUUAUUCUAUGCAAUAGACUUGUAACUUCUUGCUAAUGGCUGUUGAGUCUCUCUCUCUCUCUCUCUCUCUCGCACACACCCUCCUCCCAAUUGGCUCACUCUGCUCAGUGCAUAAAGAAUUGAUGAUAUGUGUUAAUAUAAACUCUGCUCAAUGCAUAAAGAAUUAAUGAUCCAUGAUGCACAGAAACUUCUAAAUGUUGAAGCUUUAAUGUUCGACUCUACCCAUCGUUAUCAAAUUCUAGCCUAGGCAGCGCCCUGGGUACUUAUAAUUGCUUAAUCACUGGUAGUCUGGACCAUAAGAUGCAAUGCACUUCUUGUUUCAAACAUGCACCGAGUUUUGCAUUACAAAUUGUUGUCAUUAAAAUAUUUUUAUUUAGUUAAUUAGGGAAAAUGAUAAUUAAUAAAAAAAGUGAGCACCUGAACUUGAUGAGUACUUUUUGAACUGAAAUACUUGAAUAAAAUUAUGUUAUGUAAGUCAACAAACUGAAGUUUUGUUUUUAAAAAAAUUAUAAGAAGAAGAAACUCAACCGCUAGCAAGUUGAGACCUAGCCUCUCUCACUCUCUCUCAUUUUCUCUUUCAGUUUUAUUUUUAACUCCAAUCCUCAUAUUAUGCAACCUUGACUUCACUGCACAUCUCUAUGGUAGUUUCUAUUUCCUUUUCAAAUAUAUUACUUCUUUAAUUUAAGAAUAUGCAGUGGUAUUUCUUUUAUGUUCCUCUGAGAUGCUUUUAAAUGUUAGAUUAUUGUAACAACAUAAGGUUUAAAAAUAUAUAUGAAAUAGGUGUAUUAAUGGUCGACUAAGUUCGUUCUACUUUUAUCUUCAUUAUCCAAACUCCAUCUUUAUGGUCAGAAUUGGCUUAAAUCCCAAAUUAAAAUUUGUCCAACAAAGUACAACCCAAAUUUGAAGACAACCUAAAUUUGAACACUGAAUUUAGUAGGAAAAAUUCGAUCACUCUGAAAACUCAAAUUUAGUAGGCUUUAGUUCGUUAGUCGAAUCUCCACCACUCUGAAAGCCCAAGAAUACUUCUGCAAUGUGAGUACUCUGGAAUUCCAUUGACAGGUCUGGUAUCAAACUUUUGUUCUUCAAGAAUCAGAGUAUAAGUUUAUAGAGUUGGUCUUCAAGAAUCACAAGACAAGUUGAUCUUUGUCUUCUAAUGGUGAUUACGAGGCCUUAGAUCAAGCAAAAUGACAUUCGAUGUAGACAGAUAAACAUAGAAUCUAAGAAGCACGGACACGGAUACGGGACACGGAUACGACACGACACGGACACGGCGACACGGCAAAUCCAAAAAAAUUAGGACACGGACACGGCGAAUAGUAUAUAUAUAUAUAUAUAUAUAUAUAUAUAUCAGCAUUAAUAAUUUUAAAAAAAAAAACACUGAUAUGUUUAGGUUGGAAUAUAUAUAUAUAUCACUGAUAUGUUAGUAUAUAUAUAUAUCAGCAUCUUUAGGGUAGUACAAAACAAAAAAUAGAACAUAUCAGCAUUAAAAAUUAAAAAAAAAAAAAAAAAAUCCCAGAAAAGUGUGUCCGAGCUGUCUGAGCCGUGUCCGUGGCGUGUCCCAGCCGUGUCCGAAAAUUGAAAAAAAUAAAAAAAUUCCAGACACAUUUUUUGGCGUGUCCGACACGUGUUGGACACG